ACUUUUAAAGGAUAGCAGUAAUCCAUUGGUCUUAGGAACCAAUAACUUUGGUGCAACUCCAAAUAAAAGUA
rnacentral:tRNA from 1 species